rnacentral:miRNA from 1 species
AGGGCCAGAUCCAAAGCCCUUUGAAAUCAAUGGAUGUCUUUCCACUGACUUCAGUGGGCUUUGAAUCAGGCUCUAA